AGUGAACGCUGGCGGUAGGCCUAACACAUGCAAGUCGAACGGCAGCACAGUAAGAGCUUGCUCUUACGGGUGGCGAGUGGCGGACGGGUGAGGAAUACAUCGGAAUCUACUUUUUCGUGGGGGAUAACGUAGGGAAACUUACGCUAAUACCGCAUACGACCUACGGGUGAAAGCAGGGGAGCUUCGGACCUUGCGCGAUUGAAUGAGCCGAUGUCGGAUUAGCUAGUUGGCGGGGUAAAGGCCCACCAAGGCGACGAUCCGUAGCUGGUCUGAGAGGAUGAUCAGCCACACUGGAACUGAGACACGGUCCAGACUCCUACGGGAGGCAGCAGAGGGGAAUAUUGGACAAUGGGCGAAAGCCUGAUCCAGCCAUACCGCGUGGGUGAAGAAGGCCUUCGGGUUGUAAAGCCCUUUUGUUGGGAAAGAACAGCAGCAGGUUAAUCCCCCGCUGUUCUGACGGUACCCAAAGAAUAAGCACCGGCUAACUUCGUG
rnacentral:rRNA from 1 species